GAGACCUCACCUAUUCGCCCUCCAACCCCAUUAUCACUAAACCUCAGAGAGAAUCAAAUGUCUGCCCUUAUUCCUAAGUGAAGACACAACAGGCUGCCAUUUUCUGUUCCUUUCCAGAUCGAUGUUGAGGUGCCAGGCAAGGGGAUUCUCUCCAUUCCUGACUCAGCCGGCUCCAUCAAGGUGCCUUCCCUCAACAACUUUAAGUACUGCCAGUCUUUCCAUCCGGAACUCUUCAACAUUGUGCUGUCUGUUUUAGCUCCAAAGGAGCCCCAAGAACUGAGCUGCACCCCAGACAAGUUCCGUGGAGCGGAUGACUUGAGGAACGCCAUUUUGGCUCUUGUCCCUGCUGAGAAACAUGGACAUAUUUUUGCGAUUUCCUUGUACAUCAGGAUUUCCGUGGAGGUGAAUCCAGUGAUUGUUUUUGGACCUGAUGGCAUCGUCAUCUCUGCCGGUCUCAGAGUUGAGUUCUUCCUCAAGAACAAAGAUGGUUCUGUCUAUUCAGUCCUCAUUAUAAGGAGUGAUGUCACCUUGAGUGCUGUGGUAUCCCUGGUGAAAGGAAGACUGAUCUUUGUGGUGUCUGUUUCCAGGUAAAAAGCCAUUCCUUUUAGUCGUCCGUCUUCCAUCCAGGAUCAGAUUUGAGCAAGAAGAGGCAACGGUGUGAAGGUUUCUACAUGAAACCAUCGUAGGAGGACAUUUGUCCU
rnacentral:lncRNA from 1 species